GGGGGUUUACCUCAGAUAAUUUAGGGGGUGGGGGGGAGAGCGCCUGCUUUGCACGCAGGAGGUCAGCGGUUCGAUCCCGCUAGUCUCCACCA
rnacentral:tRNA from 1 species